UACGUAGGGUGCGAGCGUUAAUCGGAAUUACUGGGCGUAAAGUGUGCGCAGGCGGCCGAGCAAGUCGAGUGUGAAAGCCCCGAGCUUAACUUGGGAACUGCGCUCGAAACUACUUGGCUGGAGUGUGGCAGAGGAAGGUGGAAUUCCACGUGUAGCGGUGAAAAUGCGUAGAGAUGUGGAGGAACACCGAUGGCGAAGGCAGCCUUCUGGGCCAACACUGACGCUCAUGCACGAAAGCGUGGGGAGCAAACAGG
rnacentral:rRNA from 1 species